CCCUUAGAUGUUCUGGGCCGCACGCGCGCUACACUGAGCCCUUCAUCGAGUUUACAACCUUGGCCGGUAGGUCUGGGUAAUCUUCUCAAAUGGGCUCGUGCUGGGGAUAGAUUAUUGUAAUUUUUAAUCUUCAACGAGGAAUUCCUAGUAAACGCAAGUCAACAGCUUGCAUUGAUUACGUCCCUGCCCUUUGUACACACCGCCCGUCGCUACUACCGAUUGAAUGGCUUAGUGAGCCCGAGGGACUGUUGCACCUAGAGGGUUUUCUCUCCAGGAGCAGCCGGGAACUCGGUCAAACUUGAUCAUUUAGAGGAAGUAAAAGUCGUAACA
rnacentral:rRNA from 1 species